GUCUAUCACCACAUCACACUGAACAUACUUGAUACCACUCAUCUUGGAAACUAGACACUGUCAGGCCCAGUUACUGCUUGGAUGGGAGACUGUGUGAAUACUAGGUGCCAUAGGCU
rnacentral:rRNA from 1 species